UUAGUAUAGUUUUUAUUUCCCUAUUAGAACUUGUUUAUAGACUGGACAGGCGCCCGUGCCAUAAAAUAGAGAUAAAAGGAUUACCACAGGCUUAUUCAUCAAAAAUUAUAGAGACAGGAAAAGAAAAAUAAAUUUCUAUCAAAUCAAUAGAAGGAAAGAUCCUUUACCAGAUUUGAAUUCCACCCUCCUUCAAAUAGGAUAUGCUCUAAGUCCCUAGACUUCCCUAUAAUAACUGCAA
rnacentral:sRNA from 1 species